rnacentral:rRNA from 1 species
AACGAACGCUGGCGGCAUGCCUAACACAUGCAAGUCGAACGAGACCUCCGGGUCUAGUGGCGCACGGGUGCGUAACGCGUGGGAACCUUCCCUUAUGUUCGGAAUACCUCCCCGACAGGGGUGCUAAUACCGGAUAAUGUCUUCUGCCCAAAGAUUUAUCGCCUUUGGAUGUGCCCGAGUUGGAUUAGCUUGUUGUUAGGGUAAAAGCCUACCACAGCGACGAUCCAUAGCUGGGAAGAGAGGAUGAUCAGCGACACUGGGACUGAGACCCGGCCUGGAAUCCUACGGGAGGGAGCAGAGGGGAAUAGUGGAAAAUGGGGGAAAGGCUGAUGCAGCAAGGCCGGGUGAGUGAUGAAGGCCUUAGAGAAGUAAAGCUCUUUUAACCGGGAUGAUAAUGACAGUACCGGGAGAAUAAGCUCCGGCUAACUCCGUG